rnacentral:rRNA from 1 species
AUACGUAGGGUGCAAGCGUUAAUCGGAAUUACUGGGCGUAAAGCGUGUGUAGGCGUUCGGAAGAAAGAUGUGAAAUCCCAGGGCUCAACCUUGGAACUGCAUUUUUAACUGCCGAGCUAGGGUAUGUCAGAGGGGGGUAGAAUUCCACGUGUAGCAGUGAAAUGCGUAGAUAUGUGGAGGAAUACCGAUGGCGAAGGCAGCCCCCUGGGAUAAUACUGACGCUCAGACACGAAAGCGUGGGGAGC